rnacentral:snoRNA from 1 species
AUUCUUUUGUGGUUCAUAUGCAUGAUGAGUGGGUAUUCACACAUUUGUGUGAGAUGUGCCUCCCUCAAACCUUGUUAAGAUGUCAGCACAUUACCCAUCUGACA